GAUGACGCUGGCGGCGUGCCUAAUACAUGCAAGUCGAGCGAGCGGCGGACGGGUGAGUAAUGUCUGGGAAACUGCCCGAUGGAGGGGGAUAACUACUGGAAACGGUAGCUAAUCCCGCAUACCAUCGGAUGUGCCCAGAUGGGAUUAGCUAGUCGGUGGGGUAACGGCUCACCGAGGCGACGAUCCCUAGCUGGUCUGCGAGGAGGACCAGCCACACUGAAACUGAGACACGGUCCAGCCUCCUACGGGAGGCAGCAGUGGGGAAUAUUGCACAAUGGGCGCAAGCCUGAUUCAGCCAUGCCGCGUGUAUGAAGAAGGCCUUCGGGUUGUAAAGUACUUUCAGCGAGGAGUCGUUACUCGCAGAAGAAGCACCGGCUAACUCCGUGCCAGCAGCCGCGGUAAUAC
rnacentral:rRNA from 1 species